GUGUGUGUGUUUGUUUGUGUGUUUGGUUUGUGUUGUGUUUUAGUUGUUGUUUUUUUAAUUAAUUAUUUUUUUUAUUUAUUUUUUUAUUUUAUUUAUUUUUUGUAAUGUACUUUAUUUGAGUUGUAAAUUAUUAUUUUUUUUUUCUCUCUCAGUGUUUUGUGUAUUACUUGUAAACAGACACUUGUAUGAUCAUAUGUGUACUGUAAAUAUCAUGUUUUUUUCCUUUAAAUGUGUGUUUGUUGUUUGUAUACACACGCACACACACAGACACACAGACACACACACACACACACACACCUUGUAACACAGCAAAGUUUUUCUCCUCUUGUAUAAAGAAAAAUAAGCUCAGAAUGAGUCUAGUCUGCUUGUAAAAAUCUCUGACUUUAUAAAUUCUUAGAAACAUUAAUUUUUAGUGUCAGGGUGUAGCAGUGUGGUCCACGAGACUCUCCCUUUCCACCAGGGGCUGACAGGACCGUGUGUGUGUGUGUGUGUGUGUGUGGUGCCACCUUGUCUGGGCGGCCCCGUGUGGGAUUGCCAGCCUGGUGUAUAGACAGACGUAAGGAAUUCUUUGUUUUGUAGGAUGUUGUCAGCCUCAGUGGUGUAGCCUUCAGUGCACACACCACACCAUCCACUUCUCUGCCUCACUAGUAAGCCAGUCUGUGUCCACCUCCUCCUCUGUCUUCCAUGUAGCCUUCACUAUGCAGACACAAAAGGAAGGUUCCCACACAUCGAUAAAUAACCUAACCUAACCUAACCUAACCUAACCUAACUUAACCUAACCUAACUUAACCUAACCUAACAAGGAACAGACUGACAAAACACAGCUAGGUUAAAUACAGCAGAGAGACAGACAGACAGACAGACAGACAGACAGACAGACAGACAGACAGAUAGACAGACAGACAGACAGGUGCAACACAGGUAAACUUCCAUGUUGUGUUGUUUCCAUCACAAACGUCAGGCCUGUCGGUGGCGGAGCACAGAGGAGUACAGCACUGUGGGCCUGGGGUGUCGCUUGGAGCAGCCCCACAGUGAAUUGCUCAUGUGUGGGGGCUACUUAAGGUCCCCAUGGUGGCUGUGUGUGAAGGGCUCCAUGCAGUGUGUAGUUAGGUCAAGGUGUGUGGACCAACUGUGUGUACUGUGCCUUGUUUACCUUACUGCCAAAAUCUGAUGUUUCUUCUCGUACUGUCACGUGAUCUAGUGUCUUUCAUCCGUCCAUCAACAAAAGCCACACAUUUCAAGAUAAACUGAAGUAAUGCAUUGAACGGGAGGUGGCAGUGUUGUGAGUCCUAGCAAGGGCAUCCAGUGUGUGGCUGCUUGUUUGUUUACCUUGCUGCCAAAAUCUGAUGUUUCUUCUUGUACUAUCACGUGAUCUAGUCUUUCAUCCGUCCAUCAACAAAAGCCACACAUUUCAAGAUAAACUGAAGUAAUGCAUUGAACAGGAGGUGGCAGUGUUGUGAGUCCCAGCAAGGGCAUCCUGUGUGUGGCUGCUCCCUUCCUGGCUGCCCUGCCCUUGCAAGACACCCCCAGGACACCCCAAGACACCCCCAAGGAUAUUUUAUUGGGUCUGACUCCUCUUCCACCUGGCUGCCUCUGGUCCUCUCUCUUCUUGAAUGGGGUGUGACAGUGGCAGGCUCCUAACACCACCACCACCACUGCCCUCACCCCGCACACCACACCACUACACCCCAAUAAGUUGCUUGGUUUAAGGGAACUAAAACACCAAUAGUUGUCUUUCCAUAUGCAUUACUGAACGACCUCCAGCCUGGUGAACGAACUCUUGAAAGAAAUGAAAACCUAACACUAUUUUGGCAGCAGAGAAGUGUUAGGCUGCACGUACAAACACACACACACACACACUGCAAGAUAAGAGAAAAGGGAGAAAUAGCUAAAACAGUCGUUAAAGUAACCAAAGAAAGAAAAUUUGGGGAAAGACAGUGGACUAAAAAGUAUUGCAUGUUUGGAGUGAAAGAGGACAACAGCGAAGGAGGCGUCACAGCAGCACCAGUGACUGAAGUGACAAAAUUAGGUAAAUGAGGGUGAAAGCACACGGAGGGGAUGGAGCGUAAGGAUACAUGGGUCAGGAGAAAUGUGAGUGAGGAUGGAAGGAAGAAAAUGAGACUGGUGGAACGGGGCAGGAGAAAUAAGAGGCGGAAGGAGAAGAAGAAACGGAAAAUUUUGAGACAUAAUGAAGAAGUGGAUAGCUAAGAAAAUAAGUUGCCAUUAUCAGCCCACGUGGAAUGAAACGACGGCUUAAGACUCUCAGUGCAAUAAGGAACAAUUCAGAACACUAGAAGCAACACAUGAAGGGUUUAUAAGCAUGUACAAGAAGACAAGGGAUUAAAAGGAAUAGAUUUCACACCUCGUAGCCUGUUUAAUGUUUUGAAGCAGCAGGAGAAGUGGAAGAAAUAGCUGAGCUUGGUCCAGGAGGAGAGAAAGAUGCACGGAAUGUGGUAGGAAUGACAAAGACUGGCUGGCACUCACCUCAGCACAGGGGAAGAAGAGCACUUGUGAAAAACUAGAGAGAAACACAAGGAAUGAGUCAUACUAGUGAAGAGAGAGACCUGCUUGUAAAUGAGGUGAUAUCUGAAGGAGGAUUAGCAGUGACAAGAGUGAAGGUGGAGUAGAGAGGAGGAGGAGGAAGAUUUUACUGGAUACGUUUCACUAGACAAUGAAAAGAUGAAGGAUGCAAGAAGACCAAUGGAGCGUUUGAUGAGCACAGGUGAUAGACGCUCAAAAACACUCAAAAGACAUGUUUUUUUAGCCAAUAUUCUGCUUGUAACAUAACAAGCGUGGGCGACUUCAACUGUGAGAAUAUGAAAUGGAAAGAUUGGUCACGAGGGGAGGCAGGAGAGCUAGAAAGGAGAGUUGUCGAGACCACCUGUGACCAACCCGAUGACAUGGUGGGUGGAUGAAAAUACCGUUUUAGCGGCAAAGAGGAACCCUCACGUGGAGCCAGGGGUGAUGGUGAAAGUGACACAAAGACUCGGAUAAGUAAACAUGGCAAUACAGUGACAGAAUGUAGUGAAAGUGAGUGAAAAAAGAUGAUCGUGGAAUUGGACGGUACAAGGACGGAUUUUGAAGUUGUAAGAAAUUUUAAUGCACAGACUCGCAUGGCAGUGGAAGAAAGCUGCAGAGAAGGUGUAAGGAGAUUUGUGGUAGAGAAAGAAGACAGACAGUAAGCAGGAAUGGUUCAAGAUGUGAGGAGGUCAGAAAAGGAAGAGAAAUGACAUGAAAUUAAUGGAGGAGGAGAAAAAACACUGCAGAGAAGAUGUGAAGAGAUUUGUGGCAGAGAAAGAAGACAGAGACAGUAAGCAGGAAUGGUUCAAGAUGUAAAGCAAGAAAAGGAAGAGAAAUGACAUGAAUAAAUGAAGGAGAAAACACAAGAAAACCGGGAGAUACAAAAGAGUGAUAAAUGAACUCCCAAGGGUACGAAGAGGAGAAACAGACAACCACAAAAGAGGCAUUGUGGACGAGUGCAAAGAUGACCCAGGACUUUUCUUAGACACGUAAAUGGAAAAAUCAAAACCGAAAAGGAAUAAAUGACACGUUGAUGAUUAAUGACAGAGCUGUGCAGGGAAGCAGAGAUGGCAGGAGUGGCGAAUGAAAGCUUCCUGAGUGUGCUCCUGUGUGCGUCAGACCUGAGGUGGCGAAGUGAGUGCAGAUUGACUGUGAGUGACAUGACUAGGAGUGAGAUGACUGGGAGGGACAUGAGGAAGAUGACAGAAAGCCCAGGAGCCAGAUGGAGUACAGUGGAAUGCAGCACCAGUGAGCCAGCAAGGUGCCUCGUGUCACUGUGCUCACUAAAACAAGGAUUGGCUAAAUUGAGAGGGAUUUCAUUGUGAUUAACUAGUUUUGAGUGGGAUUAAGAGACAUUUGAUGGGAUUUGAAAGGUUUUGUGUAGGAUUGGGUGAAUGCGAGUGGGAUUAGAGGCUGUAUAGAAUAGGUUCACUGGGAUUGGGUGAGUCCGAGUGUGAUUAAAAGGGUUUUUGAGUUCGUGUGAGUAGGAGAGACUUGCAUGGGGUGGAAUGUGCUUGAGAAAGAUUGGAGAAGAGUCAUCAUUGUGUCACCUGCAAGAGUGGCCAUGAGCACCAGCCUUCAGGUACAGACCAGGUUAACGGGGCGUGUCAGAGUGUGGGAAUAUUUAGAAGGAAAUGCAAGACUGACAGACACACAGCUUGGCUUUUAGAGAGGGGAAGAUUGUGUAUAAUGAACUUGUUAGGGUUACUGGUGCUGCACAAGAGAGAGGGAAGAGUUGAUAGUGUGUUUGGACUUAAAGGUGUUGACAAGCUGCCCCACUAAUCACUCUUGAAAAUAUUGGUGUAAAAGGAAUGCCCUUGAAACCAGUGUCCAGUUUUCUAAUAGAUGGAGAAAUGAAAAUAGUGCAGAGAGGCAGAAAAUUCUCUUGGGGGGAAGGAGAUUAGUGGAGCACCGCAGGAACCUAUCAUGGCACCAAGGAUGUUUACAAUAGACAGGGUGUGAUGAGUUUGUGCGUUUGUACGGACACUGCCACAGGUCGCUGAGGGAAAAAUAUACUACCGCAAAUAACCUCUCUCUCUCUCUCUCUCUCUCUCUCUCUCUCUCUCUCUCUCUCUCUCUCUCUCUCUCUCUCUCUCUCUCUCUCUCUCUCUC